GACGCAGACGGACGCAAGGCACGGCGCCGACAUCUCCCCGUGGCCCGAGGGCCCAGACAUGAAGGCCCUGGGCGCGCACGCCGCCGACCUGCUCCGAGGCCCGCACCUACUCCGCGCCGCCGUCUUCGCUUUCGCCGUUGCGCUCGCCUUCCUCGUUGGCUACCACUGGCCCAACGCCUCCCCGCGCCUUGUCUUCUUCUCGUCCGAUGCCUCCUCGUCGUCGCCCAGGUCGUCCUCCCGCUCUCCUUCCGUCGUGCUCUCCCCUAACUCUAACGUCUCCUUCGACCCAUCCCUGAUCCCUACCCCCAGCACCCCGCCUGCUUCUUCUACUCCCAAUGCCUGGUCCCCGCCCGCACUACCACCGCCGACAUCGGCGCCGCCGCCUCCCCUCCCCCCUCCUCCACCACCAGCGCGCCUCGGCAUCGUCGGCGAGGACGGCGCUAUGCAGGACGACUUCGACAUCGGCAACGUCGGCGCCAACGACACUGAUCUGGCCACCGACGAGACCGCGCCGCAGGAGCCUAGCGACGUGGGCGCCAGCGGUGGACCACCUAGGGUGCGGAUUGAGAGGUUCCCGGUCUGCCCCGAGAGCAUGAGGGAGUACAUACCCUGCCUCGACAACGAGGAUGAUAUCAAGCGGCUGCCCUCGACGGAGCGCGGGGAGCGGUUUGAGCGGCACUGCCCUGCCAAGGACAAGGGUCUCAGCUGCCUCGUGCCGGCGCCCAACGGGUACAAGGCGCCCAUCCCCUGGCCUCGGAGCAGAGACGAGGUCUGGUUUAGCAACGUGCCUCACACAAGAUUGAUUGAUGACAAAGGAGGACAGAAUUGGAUCACCAAGGUCAAAGAUAAAUUCAGAUUUCCUGGAGGCGGAACUCAAUUCAUUCAUGGAGCAAAUCAAUACCUAGACCAGAUCUCCCAGAUGGUACCAAAUGUUGCAUUUGGAUCUCAUACUAGAGUUGUCUUGGAUGUUGGCUGUGGAGUAGCAAGUUUUGGUGCAUAUUUACUUUCACGUGAUGUCCUGACAUUGUCCAUAGCUCCAAAAGAUGUUCAUGAAAAUCAGAUUCAGUUUGCUCUUGAACGUGGUGUGCCUGCAAUGGCAGCAGCAUUUGCAACGCGCCGGUUGUUAUAUACAAGCCAAGCGUUUGAUAUAAUACAUUGCUCACGCUGCCGAAUAAAUUGGACCCGUGAUGAUGGUAUCCUGCUCCUGGAGGUUAAUAGAUUGCUUAGAGCUGGAGGCUACUUUGCUUGGGCAGCCCAACCUGUUUAUAAGCAUGAAGAGGCCCAACAAGAGGCAUGGAAAGGUAUGUUCUACUUAUUCUGUUGUACCUUCUCUUUUGUUAGUGUGAUAACAUACAGCUCAUGUAUGAGUUUGGUAGUUCUUUAAUGCUAGAGAUUUGUCAUAAUCAAAUCCAUUCUUUUAUUCGCUACUAUCCUGCAUACUUAUAGCUGGCAAGUUGUGUAGUUUGUGUUUGUUGAUGCCAAAUAGCCAGUGUUCCUGUAUACACGUAUCUAACAUUUAUUUAAAACACCUUGCCUUAUCAGUUCAACUUUAUGUAUUUUGACUUGAAUUUGUCCUUGUCACAACAUGCUAAGUGCCCUCACAUAAGUUAACUUGCAUGAUAGGUGUUACCAUUUUAGGCAUCAUCU